UCUGCUCUACUUUUCUUUGUGCUAUAUUUUCUUUGUGUUUGUUUCCUUUUAUUUUGUAUGACAAUAUGUAUGGAAAAUAAUAUUUAAUUCUGUUCUAUUGCCUUUAAUUUUGCCAAAUAUAUAUUAAACCCAACCUAUAUUUUUAUAAUUUUCAAUAGACCGUAACUUUUCAUUGUUCCUCCUCUAUAAAGUGAUAGGGAGUUUGGCAAAAAUUUACCUUGUUCUGUCUUCUCAGCGCUUCAUCACUUUCCAGUAUUACUCAUUUAAUCUGGAGCUGUGAGCCAGUUUAUCCUCUGCAUUUUUUACAACCACCAAAUACUUAUUUCAGAAUUGGUCAUGGUUACUUGCAUUUAGUGUCGUAACCAGACUGCAGCUGACCCAGUACGCUACCAUCCCUUGGAACUCCACGACUGCAGUGAGCUCCUGCCGACUUCCGGGUUUCUGACUGCUGGACGCUGCAUCUACCAAGCGAUGGGGGGAAACAGAUGAAGCACCCACUCCUGAAUCCCCAGCCAAUGCCUGUGUAAAUACUCCCAUCAUGGCCAAUGUCAAGCUCCAACAGCACAUCACUGAACUUUGAGUUGGAAAGAAAUAUGCACACUAGGCUUUUGUGAGCUGUCUCAAGCUGGCUUCAUCACAUUAGCAGGAAAGAUGAAGAAACUGAGGCGCAGAAGAAUUGUCUCUUGUCCAAACUCAUGCAGCUGCUAGGAGGUAUCUGUAGGACCUGAGCCUUCCACCCAUGUGUCUUCCACCAAUAUCCACAUUAAAAGGAUGAAGCAUGAGCUAGCUUUUGCUUCCUACCAAAAGGAUUAAAUAAACCCAAAGUGGACCAUUUGGAGGCAUACAUGUUGUCUCCAGUGUGGAAUGAGAG
rnacentral:lncRNA from 10 species